rnacentral:rRNA from 1 species
CCUACGGGGGGCUGCAGUGGGGAAUAUUGGACAAUGGGGGGAACCCUGAUCCAGCCAUGCCGCGUGUGUGAAGAAGGCCCUCGGGUUGUAAAGCACUUUCAGUGAGGAAGAACGCCUGGUGGUUAAUACCCAUCAGGAAAGACAUCACUCACAGAAGAAGCACCGGCUAACUCCGUGCCAGCAGCCGCGGUAAUACGGAGGGUGCGAGCGUUAAUCGGAAUUACUGGGCGUAAAGCGCGCGUAGGUGGUUUGAUAAGCCGGUUGUGAAAGCCCCGGGCUCAACCUGGGAACGGCAUCCGGAACUGUCAAGCUAGAGUGCAGGAGAGGAAGGUAGAAUUCCCGGUGUAGCGGUGAAAUGCGUAGAGAUCGGGAGGAAUACCAGUGGCGAAGGCGGCCUUCUGGACUGACACUGACACUGAGGUGCGAAAGCGUGGGUAGCAAACAGGAUUAGAUACCCGGGUAGUC